rnacentral:rRNA from 1 species
UACGGGGGGGGCGAGCGUUGUUCGGAAUCACUGGGCGUAAAGGGCUCGUAGGUGGCCAACUAAGUCAGACGUGAAAUCCCUCGGCUUAACCGGGGAACUGCGUCUGAUACUGGAUGGCUUGAGUUUGGGAGAGGGACGCGGAAUUCCAGGUGUAGCGGUGAAAUGCGUAGAUAUCUGGAGGAACACCGGUGGCGAAGGCGGCGUCCUGGACCAACACUGACACUGAGGAGCGAAAGCCAGGGGAGCAAACGGG